UUUAAACACUAGUUCCCCAUAUGAUCCCCAAAGUUAAGCAGCAUCGAGUCAGUACAUAGAUGGGUGACCACUUGGGAAUACCAAGUGCUGUAA